UCCCACGGAGGCAGGACCAACCCCUGCAGGCCUUCAGGACUGGGGGUCUCAGGGAGGGAAGGAGGUUCUGGGCUUCUCUUGGGCUUGGACUGGACUUCAUCUCCUUGAGCUUGAGCUGGACGUGCUCUGUCUGAUCUAUUCCCCACUACCAAAGAGGAGAGGUUAAAAGAGGUCCAUGUAGGGACUCAGUCCUAUUUAACUUGUUCUCUGCAGCCAGGCUGGAAGAUGCAACAAGAGACCUGGAUUCAGGAGUAAAGAACACAUGCCCACACCUCUGAGAAAGUAAACUCAAAAGACUGUGCAUCAUCCAAAGCUGAAAUCACCCUAAAAACAGUCAUUCAAGAAUUCUGCAUGCAGAUGACUGGGCCCUAGGAGUAAACACAGAAGAAGACACCUGCCAGGCAAUAGACAGCAGAUGUAUUAGACCUUCAAACUGAGGGGAAACCAGUGAGAGCAAAAAACCCAAGACCUGAAGAGCAUGACCCCUGAGGAUCAAAAACACGUUUCUUACAUGGAGUCUUUAUAUCAGAACAUUAUCACUAUGGCUUGGGGCUUACCUGAAGCUGUUCCUGGUGGUGGCCAUCACCAUCUCUGACCAGAUCCUACCAGAAAGCUCCCUGAUUUCUGAAGCAGAUGGGGCUUCUCUGCAGAGGAUGCAGGAGUGAUUUGAGUGCCUUGGAAAAGUGCCGGUCUGGAUGGAGCAGGAGACAUUGGAGCUGGCCAGCCGAGGAGGUGCUGGACUGGGUCUUACCUAGCUUGGACUGGGUGGGGUCCCUUUGUGCGGGUCAUUUAUAUUGUUCUCCAGGCCUAGAUCCAGCACAGGAGAGGGACCCCAGCUGAAGAAGAUACUUUCUGUUACCACAAGAAAGCCAGCAACUGUCUCCCAUUCCCCCACCAUUUCCCCUCCCCAAUCUCUGAUCACAUCUUCUCCUUGACACCCUCCCCUCUCCCUUUCUAGCUCUUCCUUUCUGCCUCUAUGGCCCCACCCCUUCUUUAUGUCUCUGCCCCACUGGUGGCUGUGCCCCUUAGCACCAAGGGAUGGGGGAAGGCUGUAUAACCUUCCAAUAAAGGGAGAGAAUCAAUUAAA